CCUACGGGUGGCUGCAGUGGGGAAUAUUGCACACUGGGGGGAACCCUGAUGCAGCACUGCCGCGUGGGUGAAGAAGCACUCCGGUGCGUACAGCUCUGUCAACAGUGAAGAAAAUGACAGUACCUGGACCAGAAUCCCCGGCUAACUACGUGCCAGACGCCGCGGUAAUACGUAGGGGGCAAGCGUUAUCCUGAUUUACUGGUUGGAACGGGAGCGCAGGCGGCGUGGCAAGUCAGAUGUGAAAACCCGGGGCCCAACCCCGGGAGUGCAUUCGAAACUGCCAUGCUGGAGUGCCGGAGAGGGGAGCGGAAUUCCUAGUGUAGCGGUGAAAGGCGUAGAUAUUAGGAGGAACACCAGUGGCGGAGGCGGCUUACUGGACGGUAACUGACGCUGAGGCUCGAAAGCGUGGGGAGCAAACAGGAUUAGAUACCCCAGUAGUC
rnacentral:rRNA from 1 species